GAAAGAGUUGUAAUCUAAAACAGACAAGCAUUAUCCUGAACAAAUACAAAGAAUGUAAUAAAGCAUUAUAAACUGCCCACUACCCAGACUCAUUCUCUGCUUCCACUCCAGGACAUGAAUGCAUACCAGGAAAUCAGUACCACUAGGGGCCACCCGGGAGACUGCCUUCCACAGGAUAGGGCACCAGAAUGCGAAUUCUGCCACAUUAUCACAUGGGC
rnacentral:lncRNA from 1 species